rnacentral:rRNA from 1 species
AACGAACGCUGGCGGCAUGCCUAACACAUGCCAGUCGAACGAGACCUUCGGGUCUAGUGGCGCACGGGUGCGUAACGCGUGGGAACCUGCCCUUAGGUUCGGAAUAACUCCCCGAAAGGGGUGCUAAUACCGGAUAAUGUCUUCGGACCAAAGAUUUAUCGCCUUUGGAUGGGCCCGCGUUGGAUUAGCUAGUUGGUAGGGUAAAAGCCUACCAAGGCGACGAUCCAUAGCUGGUCUGAGAGGAUGAUCAGCCACACUGGGACUGAGACACGGCCCAGACUCCUACGGGAGGCAGCAGUGGGGAAUAUUGGACAAUGGGCGAAAGCCUGAUCCAGCAAUGCCGCGUGAGUAAUGAAGGCCUUAGGGUUGUAAAGCUCUUUUACCCGGGAUGAUAAUGACAGUACCGGGAGAAUAAGCUCCGGCUAACUCCGUG